AGUUAAUUAAUCUAAAAAAGAUUAUUGUUUUGAAAACAAUAUAUAGAAAAUAAAAUUUCUAUUAACUU
rnacentral:tRNA from 1 species